UCAUUAAAACUCCUAUAGCCCUAAACAGACGGUACACCUUCUCUCUCUUUCUCUCUAAAGCCCUAAACGAUUCCCCCAAAUCAAUAUUCAUUAUUGAGAUUACAAUAAUGUAAGACGGUCAUAUCCUUUAACGAUUCUCCCAAAUCCUUUAGCUUUUAUGUAAGGAGAUCAGAUUUCAACGUUUAAGGUGUGCAUGCGUGUGUAUUGGACGAAGAUCAGCUUAAAUCACUGAUUUUAGCUAUCGAUUCACUGCUUAAGCCAUCAAUUUCACCGUUUGGUAGCCGAGGAAUCUAAAAUAGCUGGUAAAGCUAUUGGGAUCGACGUCGACAAAGUUAUAUUUGAUAGACUCUUGACGAUUGAAGCAUAGUAGAAAAUGGUGUUUCAUGGUUCAUCGUCAUUUUUUUGAAAGCGGCCAUUGGUUUAGAUUGCAGCGUGUCCGUUAUAAUGGGAAAAUUGAGCAACGGGAGCCACCAAUAGCAUUAUCAGGGUCAGACAAAUUGAAACAAAUGGAGGGAAUCAAUGCUAGUUUUGGAAAGUACCUGAGUCGAAUGCUAAAGGUAAAAGAACUCGAGGAAAAACUAUUGCUGAAGAUAGACCGAAACAAUGGAGAAAGAGAAGCAUACUUUUUGAUCUUCUUUAUUGGGAAUCUAACUUGUUGCAUCAUAAUCUAGACCUUAUGCACAUUGAGAAGAAUGCGUGUGAGAAUGUGAUAUAUACUUUGCUCAAUAAUACUGAAAAGUCAAAAGACAAUCUUAAAGCUCGGAAUGAUCUUAGAGAAAUGGGUAUAAGGAAAGAACUUUGGGCAGAUGAGAAUGAAAGUUAUCGUCCAGUCUUGUUCACUCUUUUAAAUUCAAAGAACAGUGGAUUUAAGAAAGACAUAUUUUUGUGAAAUUUAAAGAAUGUCAAAAUGCCCGAUGGAUACGCUAGCAACAUUUCAAGAUGUGUCGACUUGAAACAACAAAAGCUCAAGUCAAUGAAGAGUCAUGAUUUUCACAUUCUCAUGCAGCACUUGUUACCAAUUUCCAUACGUAAUAUUUUACUAGACAAGGUGACUGCAGUAUUAAUAGAGUUAAGUUCAUUCUUCCAACAACUCUGUGCCAAAAGCUUAAGUCCCUUAGACCUUGACAGGCUCCAGUCUCGGUAUUUUAUCACCAUGAAUCACCGGGAAAUGUUAUUCCCUCCUAAAUUCUUUACAAUCAUGGUUCAUUUAACUUGUCAUCUAGCCGGUGAAGCAAAACUUGGGGACCUCAACAAUGUCAGUGGAUGUAUCCUAUCGAGAGGUAUUUGGGACACUUCAAAUCCUAUGUGCGAAACAUGUCAUAACCAGAAGAUUCUAUAGCUGAAGGAUAUCUAGCUGAAGAGGCUCUUACUUUUUGUUCCCAGUAUAUUAAAGGGAUUGAGACAAGAUUUAAUAGGCCACGCCGUGUUGACGAUUUUCCGGAAGAUAGAGGCUCGGCGAAUUCAUCUAGUAUUUUCCCACCAGUUGGUAAAGGACUAGGAGCUAUAACAUUUGAAUUGUCACCUAUGGCAAAACGUCAAGCACAUCGAUAUGUGUUACUAAAUUGUCCACAAGUCAUGCCAUUCAUUACGUGAGUAUAGGCGGUGGAAGGGUCGAAAGCCUUCAAACGCGGAGAUAGAGAAAAUAGUUAGUAAAAACUUUAUUGAUUGGUUUCCUCGAAGAUUGUUAAUCCAGACAUUUCAAAUAUUGUGUGUCAUAGACUAAUGUUUUUAGCAGAUGGUCAGCACCAUAUGCUACAAGGUUUACAUCAUUUAAUAUCAAUGAGUUCAAAUUUCGAACAACAACUCAAGAGCAUGGGUUGAAAAUGCAAAACAGUAGGUUUUUUUUACUUCGUCCACAUCUUGUAUUGAUAGUGGUGCUGAUGGAAAUUUGAGGCAAGCAGAUUUGCCAUAUUAUGGCAAAUUAGAAGAUAUCAUUGUGCUUAACUACUAUCAAUUUAGGGUUACACUAUUUAAGUGUAAAUGGGCUGACACAACUAGGGAUAGAAAGUUUAGAAAGGAUGCAUGAGGAUUUCCUUCUGUUAAUUUUUCACAAUUGAUUCACAUUGGUGAUCGUGAAGAACAUACUCCAUAUAUUGAAGCUUCACAAGCUUAAAUGGUAUAUUAUGUGGAUGAUGAGGUGAAUAAAGGAUGGAGUACUGUUGUUCACUUGAAACCAAGAGACUAGUAUGAAAUGGGAGAAGGAGAGAAUGAAAUUCCUAAGAAUGAGCCAUUUCCAGUGCAAGACUUAGAUCAAUUCUUUGAUGAUGUGAAUGAUAUAAUUUUUGAGUCGGGAGGAUAAAAUUGAUGAAGUAUUAGGUGAAUACGACAUUGAAAAUAAGAUUGAGGAAGAUGAACAUAUUUGAAGAGUCACUGCCAACCCAUUUUUAGUCUAAGAAACCAAACUGUAUCUAUGCUUAUAGUUGAUCAACAAUAUUGAAAAUUCCUUAUUUUUUUGCUUUGGCAUUAUAAAUUAUUGACUUGUUCAGCUAUUUUGAUUUGAUAGAGUUGUAUAUGUUGUUACUUUUAUUGGUCAGCUAUUGUAUAUCAGCACUUGUUAUUAUUGUUGCAUCUAUUUGAAAUUUUGGUAACACAACUUUUCAAUUUGUAGUAUUCAAUUAUAAUUCUGUCGUUGUACAAUCUUAAUAGGGCAUGGUUAUUUUUGGCAAGCAUAAACGUUACUCGGAUACUUGAGGGAACCAAGACAAGGAGUUUCUACUUCUACUCUUAGAAAGGUAGUUUUUAUCUCUGUUGUGUAAUGGUUUUCACUUCAAUCUUCAAUACACUAAUGAUACAACAACUGAUACACAUGUUAUAGGGGGGUCAGAUUUAUUCCAUGUAUACAUACUUCUGCAAUAUGUAAAUGUGUGCCUUCAAAAUUUGGGAAUUGGAUGUGGUCUUGUAACCUCUAUUUUUGUAAGAUGUUAUAUCUGAGAUACGCCGUAUAAAAUGAUAAAAUUGAUAA